rnacentral:rRNA from 1 species
CGGACGGGUGAGUAAUGUCUGGGAAACUGCCUGAUGGCGGGGGAUAACUACUGGAAACGGUAGCUAAUACCGCAUAAUGUCUGCGGACCAAAGCGGGGGACCUCCGGGCCUCGCGCCAUCAGAUGAACCCAUAUGGGAUUAGCUAGUAGGUAAGGUAACGGCUUACCUAGGCGACGAUCCCUAGCUGGUCUGAGAGGAUGACCAGCCACACUGGAACUGAGACACGGUCCAG